rnacentral:rRNA from 1 species
AUGUUUAUUAUCAACAGUGGGCAGUCAUUAUCAAUUGUUGAAGAACCCAGUCUUCAGAUGUUUAUUAGAGUUGUUAAUCCGCUGUCUGAAAAUAUAAACUCUUGUCGCCGUUCUGUUUUAGACAGAGAUGUCACGGCUCUUUAUGGAAGGGAAAAUGAUUCUUUGAAAUUUAUCUUGUCUGAAGUACCUGGGAGAAUCAGUUUCGCUAUUGAUCGCCGGAAGGGCAAAGAAACCGGAGAAAACUACAAUGAUGAUAUCUAUAUGUGCAUCGUGGCUUGCUUUAUUGAUGUUGAUUGGAAUUUGCAGAGAAGAGUAGUGGCUUUCAAACACUUGUCUUUUCCUGAUGAUGUCGUGUUUGUCGCUGAUACUGUAGCAUCCUGUUUUACUGAAUUUGAGGUUGAUCAGAAGCUAAUGUGCAUAACUCUGGAUAAUGCAUUAGAUGAUGCUUCUGUGGAUAAUUCAGUUAAGACGAUUGUGCUAGAUAAGGACAAAUUGUUGUGUGAUGGUGAAUUAUGUCAAAUGCAUUGUUUCACAGAAAUCUUGAAUUCAGUUGUGCAAGCUGGUCUAGAGCUGAUUGAUGAUGUUGUUGCCAAGAUUCGUCAUGGAAUUCACUAUAUCACUUACUCUAAAAAGAGAGAGGAUGAGUUUUAUCAGGGUGCUAAAGAAAUUUGUCAUCUUGAUGUUGCAAUGAAGUUACGUGCUGAUCUGGUUAUUACUUGGGACUCAACUUACAAAAUGCUUUGCUGUGCGCUUUAUUACAAGGAUGCUCUGAAGCAUUUUGCACCAAAACAUCAGACCUUCUUGUCUAAUUUCCAUCUUUGUGAUGAAGAAUGGAACAGGGUGGCAACAAUGGAAAAGUUCAUAAAGCCACUCUAUGACAUCACAUGCACUUUCUUAACCACAAAGCACAAAACUGCCAGUUUAUACUUUCUUGGUCUAUACAAGGUUUACCGAUUGCUUGGAGUGACAAAAGGGCAAGAAAACUUCAUGGCUGGUAUGGUGAAAGACAUGACGGCUAAGUUCGACAAGUAUUAG